AUUGAACGCUGGCGGCAGGCCUAACACAUGCAAGUCGAACGAGUGGCGGACGGGUGAGUAAUGUCUGGGAAUCUGCCCGAUGGAGGGGGGUAACUACUGGAAACGGUAGCUAAUACCGCAUACUAUCGGAUGUGCCCAGAUGGGAUUAGCUAGUAGGUGGGGUAACGGCUCACCUAGGCGACGAUCCCUAGCCGGUCUGAGAGGAUGACCAGCCACACGGGAACUGAGACACGGUCCAGACUCCUACGGGAGGCAGCAGUGGGGAAUAUUGCACAAUGGGCGCAAGCCUGAUACAGCCAUGCCGCGUGUAUGAAGAAGGCCUUCGGGUUGUAAAGUACUUUCAGCGAGGAGGCGUUACUCGCAGAAGAAGCACCGGCUAACUCCGUGCCAGCAGCCGCGGUAAUAC
rnacentral:rRNA from 1 species